AGGAGCGCUCAGAAGGUCAUCAGGAGUUGGAAGGGGUUGUGUACGUAAAUUGGCAAUGUGAAAGUCCUCUAACCCAGCAAGAGAGCGAAUCGCUCCCUCUGGGAAGUCUCCCUCAAAGAACGUUUGGUCUUUGGCUAUGUACGUCCAUGGGAAUGUGUUAUUUAGCCAGGUUUCAAUUUCUGUCCGGACUGUGCAUGUA